rfam:Monodelphis domestica chromosome 5, whole genome shotgun sequence.
UUAGCUUUGGCACAGUAGGUAGUGCAUCAGUCUCCCAAGCUGAAGGUCCUGAGUUCGAUCCUCUGAAGGAGAG